AACGUUAAUCGGGGCAGGGUGAGUCGACCCCUAAGGCGAGGCCGAAAGGCGUAGUCGAUGGGAAACAGGUUAAUAUUCCUGUACUUGGUGUUACUGCGAAGGGGGGACGGAGAAGGCUAUGUUGGCCGGGCGACGGUUGUCCCGGUUUAAGCGUGUAGGCUGGUUUUCCAGGCAAAUCCGGAAAAUCAAGGCUGAGGCGUGAUGACGAGGCACUACGGUGCUGAAGCGACAAAUGCCCUGCUUCCAGGAAAAGCCUCUAAGCAUCAGGUAACAUCAAAUCGUACCCCAAACCGACACAGGUGGUCAGGUAGAGAAUACCAAGGCGCUUGAGAGAACUCGGGUGAAGGAACUAGGCAAAAUGGUGCCGUAACUUCGGGAGAAGGCACGCUGAUAUGUAGGUGAAGCGACUUGCUCGUGGAGCUGAAAUCAGUCGAAGAUACCAGCUGGCUGCAACUGUUUAUUAAAAACACAGCACUGUGCAAACACGAAAGUGGACGUAUACGGUGUGACGCCUGCCCGGUGCCGGAAGGUUAAUUGAUGGGGUUAGCGGUAACGCGAAGCUCUUGAUCGAAGCCCCGGUAAACGGCGGCCGUAACUAUAACGGUCCUAAGGUAGCGAAAUUCCUUGUCGGGUAAGUUCCGACCUGCACGAAUGGCGUAAUGAUGGCCAGGCUGUCUCCACCCGAGACUCAGUGAAAUUGAACUCGCUGUGAAGAUGCAGUGUACCCGCGGCAAGACGGAAAGACCCCGUGAACCUUUACUAUAGCUUGACACUGAACAUUGAGCCUUGAUGUGUAGGAUAGGUGGGAGGCUUUGAAGUGUGGACGCCAGUCUGCAUGGAGCCGACCUUGAAAUACCACCCUUUAAUGUUUGAUGUUCUAACGUGGGCCCCUUACCGGGGUUGCGGACAGUGUCUGGUGGGUAGUUUGACUGGGGCGGUCUCCUCCUAAAGAGUAACGGAGGAGCACGAAGGUUGGCUAAUCCUGGUCGGACAUCAGGAGGUUAGUGCAAUGGCAUAAGCCAGCUUGACUGCGAGCGUGACGGCGCGAGCAGGUGCGAAAGCAGGUCAUAGUGAUCCGGUGGUUCUGAAUGGAAGGGCCAUCGCUCAACGGAUAAAAGGUACUCCGGGGAUAACAGGCUGAUACCGCCCAAGAGUUCAUAUCGACGGCGGUGUUUGGCACCUCGAUGUCGGCUCAUCACAUCCUGGGGCUGAAGUAGGUCCCAAGGGUAUGGCUGUUCGCCAUUUAAAGUGGUACGCGAGCUGGGUUUAGAACGUCGUGAGACAGUUCGGUCCCUAUCUGCCGUGGGCGCUGGAGAACUGAGGGGGGCUGCUCCUAGUACGAGAGGACCGGAGUGGACGCAUCACUGGUGUUCGGGUUGUCAUGCCAAUGGCACUGCCCGGUAGCUAAAUGCGGAAGAGAUAAGUGCUGAAAGCAUCUAAGCACGAAACUUGCCCCGAGAUGAGUUCUCCCUGACUCCUUGAGAGUCCUGAAGGAACGUUGAAGACGACGACGUUGAUAGGCCGGGUGUGUAAGCGCAGCGAUGCGUUGAGCUAACCGGUACUAAUGAACCGUGAGGCUUAACCUU
rnacentral:rRNA from 1 species